GUUCUACUUGGAAACCUUUCUGAUAGUGAAACAUACUGUUGUAGGGAUCUACAUAUAACCUUAUAAUCAUCCACUCAUCUAUACACUGAGCAGUCUGUGGUUGUGGAUUUAAUACAUCCAUAGUGGUCAUGGACACUCCCUAUUCAAAUAGAGUCGGGUAUAAACAGCAUGUUCUUGGCUGUUCAGGUUUCCAGUGAGCUCUGUGAUUGAUAACACUCCCAUACACUUUAAAUCUGGGUGAAGCAGAACUCGGAGAAGGAUGAUUUUAGGACAUUGUAUUUUAUUUGUUCUCAUUUCAUAUUCUUAUGGACAGUCCCUGACCUCCUCUGCUUCUGUGGUGAAGAGACCUGGAGAGUCAGUCACUCUGUCCUGUACUGUCUCCGGAUUCUCAAUGAGCAGCUACUACAUGCACUGGAUCCGUCAGAAACCAGGAAAAGGACUGGAGUGGAUCGGAUACAUUGACGGUGGCACUAGCACAACAUUCGCUCAGUCUCUGCAGGGCCAGUUCUCCAUCACUAAAGACACCAAUAAAAACAUUCUGUACCUAGAAGUGAAGAGUCUGAAAGCUGAAGACACGGCUGUUUAUUACUGUGCACGAGACUCACAUUGA